rnacentral:rRNA from 1 species
GAUGAACGCUAGCUACAGGCUUAACACAUGCAAGUCGAGGGGCAUCGGGAAGAAAGCUUGCUUUCUUUGCCGGCGACCGGCGCACGGGUGAGUAACACGUAUCCAACCUGCCCUUUACUCGGGGAUAGCCUUUCGAAAGAAAGAUUAAUACCCGAUAGCAUAAUGAUUCCGCAUGGUUUCAUUAUUAAAGGAUUCCGGUAAAGGAUGGGGAUGCGUUCCAUUAGGUUGUUGGUGGGGUAACGGCCCACCAAGCCUUCGAUGGAUAGGGGUUCUGAGAGGAAGGUCCCCCACAUUGGAACUGAGACACGGUCCAAACUCCUACGGGAGGCAGCAGUGAGGAAUAUUGGUCAAUGGGCGCUAGCCUGAACCAGCCAAGUAGCGUGAAGGAUGAAGGCUCUAUGGGUCGUAAACUUCUUUUAUAUAAGAAUAAAGUGCAGUAUGUAUACUGUUUUGUAUGUAUUAUAUGAAUAAGGAUCGGCUAACUCCGUGCCAGCAGCCGCGGUAAUACGGAGGAUCCGAGCGUUAUCCGGAUUUAUUGGGUUUAAAGGGAGCGUAGGUGGACUGGUAAGUCAGUUGUGAAAGUUUGCGGCUCAACCGUAAAAUUGCAGUUGAUACUGUCAGUCUUGAGUACAGUAGAGGUGGGCGGAAUUCGUGGUGUAGCGGUGAAAUGCUUAGAUAUCACGAAGAACUCCGAUUGCGAAGGCAGCUCACUGGACUGCAACUGACACUGAUGCUCGAAAGUGUGNGUAUCAAACAGG